rnacentral:rRNA from 1 species
ACUAGAUGUUGGCCGUCAAAGGUCAGUGUCGCAGCUAACGCAUUAAGUAUUCCGCCUNGGGAGUACGGUCGCAAGAUUAAAACUCAAAGGAAUUGACGGGGACCCGCACAAGCGGUGGAGUAUGUGGUUUAAUUCGAAGCAACGCGCAGAACCUUACCAGCUCUUGACAUGGGACGUAUAGGGAUCAGAGAUGAUUUCUUUCACUUCGGGUGGCGUCCGCACAGGUGCUGCAUGGCUGUCGUCAGCUCGUGUCGUGAGAUGUUGGGUUAAGUCCCGCAACGAGCGCAACCCUCAUCGUUAAUUGCCAUCAGGUAGGGCUGGGCACUUUAGCGAAACUGCCGGUGAUAAGCCGGAGGAAGGUGGGGAUGACGUCAAGUCCUCAUGGCCCUUAUGGGCUGGGCUACACACGUACUACAAUGGCGGUGACAAAAGGCAGCAAAGGGGCAACCCCGAGCGAAUCCUAAAAAGCCGCCUCAGUUCGGAUUGUUCUCUGCAACUCGAGAGCAUGAAGUCGGAAUCGCUAGUAAUCGUAGAUCAGCAUGCUACGGUGAAUACGUUCCCGGGUCUUGUACACACUGCCCGUCACACCAUGGGAGUUGGUUUUACCUUAAGCCGCUGAGCUAACCUUCG